rnacentral:rRNA from 1 species
GAUGAACGCUGGCGGCGUGCCUAAUACAUGCAAGUCGAGCGAACAGACGAGGAGCUUGCUCCUCUGACGUUAGCGGCGGACGUGUGAGUAACACGUGGAUAACCUACCUAUAAGACUGGGAUAACUUCGGGAAACCGGAGCUAAUACCGGAUAAGAUAUUGAACCGUAUGGUUCAAUAGUGAAAUACGGUUUUGCUAUCACUUAUAGAUGGAUCCGCGCCUCAUUAGCUAGUUGGUAAGGUAACGGAUUACCAAGGCAACGAUGCGUAGCCGACCUGAGAGGGUGAUCGGCCACACUGGAACUGAGACACGGUCCAGACUCCUACGGGAGGAAGCAGUAGGGAAUCUUCCGCAAUGGGCGAAAGCUUGACGGAGCAACGCCGCGUGAGUGAUGAAGGUUUUCGGAUCGUAAAACUCUGUUAUUAGGGAAAAACAAAUGUGUAAGUAACUAUGCACGUCUUGACGGUACCUAAUCAGAAAGCCACGGCUAACUACGUG